rfam:Schistosoma haematobium scaffold948_21, whole genome shotgun sequence.
AUCCAGCUGACAAGUCCCAAAUCUGACGAAACACUCGUCCUGGAU